AUUGAACGCUGGCGGCAGGCCUAACACAUGCAAGUCGAGCGGAGCGGCGGACGGGUGAGUAAUGCCUAGGAAUCUGCCUGGUAGUGGGGGAUAACGUCCGGAAACGGGCGCUAAUACCGCAUACUAUCAGAUGAGCCUAGGUCGGAUUAGCUGGUGGGGGGGGUAAAGGCCUACCAAGGCGACGAUCCGUAACUGGUCUGAGAGGAUGAUCAGUCACACUGGAACGGAGAAACGGCCAGGACUCCUACGGGAGGCAGCAGUGGGGAAUUUUGGAAAAUGGGCGAAAGCCUGACCCGGCAAGGCGGCGGGUGGGAAGAAGGUUUUCGGAUUGUAAAGCUCUUUAAGUAGGGAAGCGUUAUCAAAAGAAAAAGCACCGGCUAACUUCGUGCCAGCAGCCGCGGUAAUUC
rnacentral:rRNA from 1 species